CCCGUUAGCGCCUCCCAGCUGCCCUCCCAGCCAGAAGUGGUCCAGCCAAGGCUGCCCGGCUGGCAGAGGCCUCCUGGGGCGCUCCUGAUUGACAGGAUGCUAAAUGCAAGAGGUUUCCUGCGAUAGAGAAAGAGAUUUUCUUGAAGCAUUCAACUCCUGACCUUUAAGAGCUUGGGGAGCAAAAUGAUUUUCAGUCACUUGGGCCUGAGUGAAAGGUUGUCACGGUGCCGGGAGAGAGGGAAGCAGGAUUGAGCAGAGGGAGGAGAGGAGCCGCAGUCACCACAAAGGACUCAGCCAGUCCCAGAGAGCCCUGGAGCUGGCAUGAUCUCCCUGAAUUGCCUUGCCCUGAGGCAAGAGGGAUGGGCCUUUACUGUCUUUCAUUGCCUGGCCAGGGGAAGCGGGCUACCCCUGGGAGGGGUGGCGACCUUGGGCAAGAGGAUUCCCUUUAAUUAAGAGCACGUCCUGGAGAGAGACCUGAGCUGAGAGUCAUCAAUACUCCCAGCAAGCUGGGGAAGUGAGUACCUGAAGCCUGAGGGGCCUCUGGGCAGCACACCGUGACCACGACCAUGGCCGUGACCGCUAUGGCGCACCCUACGCUGCUCAAAUGACCUGCCAUCACAGGGUUCCAUUCCCCGGGGAACGUGUUACUGGUUUGCAUUUGCUGCCUUGGCCCUGGGUGGGGGAGGCCGUUUGAAGACUUCCACUUGGCCUUCGCUACAGUAACUCUCAACUCCACAUGUCAAGGACUAGGUCUGCCAACUGGUCCCUGCCCUCGUGGAACUUCCAUUCUGGUGGAUAUAAGCAGUGAGUACUUGGAAGACAGAAACACCCAUCUGGCUGCAUAAACGCUCCCUGAAUGAGUAAAAUGAAAAACUAAUU